AGAGACAGUCAGAGGUCCUGAUGGCCUCUAUACUGUCAGCAGCAGAGUGACUGUGGAGAAGAGCCACAGCAACAGCUUCACCUGCAGGGUUCGGCAGAACAAAACACAGCAAACCAGGCAGAAUCGGAUUCAUGUUCCAGAUUCUUACUUCCCGUCUUCUCCUGCUGCUCCUGUCGCCACUGGCUUGUCUGUUGUCUUCUUGUGUUUUGUUGCUGUUGUCGUCUUUGUUGUGUGUAUAUGCAGAUAUAUCGAAAACAAGAGAAAGAGGGAGGAGAACAAAACCAACUCUCAGGGUAACAACACCGAACUUCAGUCCCUGAAGGAGGAAGGAAGAAACCAGGAGCAGCUCAACACAGAAAGAGAGACACUGAAGGAUCUGGACAAGAAAAAGGCCAAACUGGAGGAAGAGCUGCAAAAGAAAGAGGAGGAAAGGAAACACUGUGUGGUGCAGUGUGAUAAUGAUUCUGAUUUUUGUAGUGAUGGAGAACAACAGAUGUGAAAACAAAUUAAAACUGCAGCAGAUGGAGAGAGAGAGGAGGGAGAGAAGGAGGAGGAGAAGAGAGACUCAAAGAAGGGGGGAAAUAGAGUUUGCUGACAGUAAAACCAUUUGAAGCCAUCAGACAGAGAAAAGGAGCUGAGCACAUCAGCUUUGGAUUUCAUGUCACAGCUGCCAGUCUUGAUGUUUCCCACUUCCACACUGGGAUUUGUAAAAGUGGAGACGAGGAGGAAGACUGGAAACAGAUCCAUGUUGACUUCAGAAUCCCAGAGACUUGACCACCACCAUCUCUCUGUCUCAGGUUGUUGACUUAAAAUGCAGAAAAAUGACUCAACAUGAGAUUAUACAGUUUUUAUGACAGUACUGACUUAGUAAUGUUUCUAGUUUUGGAUAUUAAAUUUUUGCAUAUUUUUGUAUCAUAGCUUAUUGUGUUGCUUAUUAUUAUGUUUUGAAUGUGUUGUGAUAACUCAACAUGUGAUUGUACAGUUAGAAAUGACAAUACUGUAUGUAUGUAUUUUUUGUAUCACAGCUUAUUGUGUUGUUCAUAAUUAGAUUUUGAAUGCAUACAUUCAACUUCUGUUUCCAGUUGUGUGAGAUAUAAAAUGAUUCAAAUUAAAAUUAUACACAGAGUUUAUAUCACACCACAUAAGUUAAAAAAAAAUGGACCCAAAUGUCUCUGAACUGUGCUGGCAUGGCUGUGGUGAGCCUGGUACUUUCAUGCAUUUAUUAUGGUUCUGCCCAGUGGUAAAACAAUUUUGGUUUGAAGUAAUUGAUAUUCUAAAAGUGAUAUUAAAUAUUCACAUUCCCCAGUGUCCUGUUGUAUGUGUAUUGGGAAGUAGAGUGGAAAAUAUACAUACAAGAAGGACUCAACGUACCAUUGCUCUAGCUUUUCUGUCUGUGAAGAGGACAAUACUUAUGAACUGCAAGAUACGCAAGCCAGACUGCUACAAUAUACAUAGUUGGCUGAAGGACUUUUUAGACCUGCUGUCAAUGGAAAAGGCAACCUCAGUGCUUAAAGAUAAUGAAAAUGAGCAAGGUGCUCCAUGGACUGUCAUUAGAGAACACUUAAACAAUAGAACAAUAACCUGAUCUGAAGUGUCUGACAUGUUUUUGUUGAACUGAACUGAUGUAAAACAAAAUGUUGAAGGAUCUGCCUAAUGUGAUGAAGCUCCGGCACCAUCAUUUCUUAAGUUUAUCUGUACCAACUCCACCCCCCUCCCUUUUUUUUUUUUUUGUCUUGUCUUAAAUUGUGCAUCAUUGUAAUGUGUUUUUUGUUGUGUUAUGUGAAAUGUGGUGCUGUCAUUGUCCUUUUUGUUUUUUUUUUUGAAAAAUUAUAAAUGGAAAAAAAAAAAACAUUUUGAAUGCAUUGUGAUGAUUAAAUUCUGCCUCAUUCCUCGGUGAUAAUGCACAUCAGGCUGUGUGUCAGUGUCACACCUGUACGAUAUGACAUCAGGUGUGUCUGCAGAAAAAAAAAGAUUUUGUAAGCUUGAACACUGUAAACUGAAGUGUAAAUAUUCAUCAUGACUUUUGAGUUGAGCUCUGGGUGGGAUGGAUUUUAUUUAGCUAUGAAAUGACAGGAUUCACAUGUCAAGCCAAGUAAUGUAAAAAUGCACUGCCUCUGUGUUCCUCGUACUGUAAUAAAGUUGAUUGAUGUUACAAUUCAA